CAAUAGCGUAUAUUUAAGUUGUUGCAGUUAAAAAGCUCGUAGCUGGAUUUCGGAUGGGACUUGCCGGUCCGUCGUUUCGAUGUGCACUGGCCAGUCCUAUCUUGUUGUCGGGGACUAGCUCCUGGGCUUCACUGUCCGGGACUAGGAGCUGACGAGGUUACUUUGAGUAAAUUAGAGUGUUCAAAGCAAGCCUACGCUCUGAAUACAUUAGCAUGGAAUAACACGAUAGGACUCUGGCUUAUCUUGUUGGUCUGUGAGACCAGAGUAAUGAUUAAGAGGGACAGUCGGGGGCAUUCGUAUUUCAUUGUCAGAGGUGAAAUUCUUGGAUUUAUGAAAGACGAACUUCUGCGAAAGCAUUUGUCAAGGAUGUUUUCAUUAA
rnacentral:rRNA from 1 species